GUCAGGAUGGCCGAGCGGUCUAAGGCGCCAGACUCAAGGGUCACUCCUUCUCGGUUCAAAAACCGAGUUUUCCGGGCUUUCUGGUCCUCUCUGAGGGCGUGGGUUCGAAUCCCACUUCUGACA
rnacentral:tRNA from 1 species